rnacentral:rRNA from 1 species
UGCCAGCAGCCGCGGUAACACGGAGGGUCCAAGCGUUGUCCGGAUUUAUUGGGUGUAAAGGGUGUGUAGGCGGGCUUGUCAGUCAGAGGUGAAAUCCUACGGCUCAACCGUAGAACUGCCUUUGAUACUGCAAGUCUUGAGUCCUGGAGAGGUUGUUAGAAUUCGUGGUGUAGCGGUGAAAUGCGUAGAUAUCACGAGGAAUACCGGUUACGAAGGUUGACAACUGGACAGGCACUGACGCUGAGGCACGAAAGCGUGGGGAGCAAACAGGAUUAGAUA